rnacentral:rRNA from 1 species
AACGAACGCUGGCGGCAUGCCUUACACAUGCAAGUCGAACGGCAGCGGACCUUCGGGUGCCGGCGAGUGGCGAACGGGUGAGUAAUGUAUCGGAACGUACCUUUCAGUGGGGGAUAACGUAGCGAAAGUUACGCUAAUACCGCAUAUUCUGUGAGCAGGAAAGCAGGGGAUCGCAAGACCUUGCGCUGAUUGAGCGGCCGAUAUCAGAUUAGCGAGUUGGUGAGGUAAAGGCUCACCAAGGCGACGAUCUGUAGCGGGUCUGAGAGGAUGAUCCGCCAGACAGGAACCGAGACCCGGUCCAGACUCCGACGGGAGGCAGCAGUGGGGAAUUUUGGACGAUGGGCGCAAGCCUGAUCCAGCCAUGCCGCGUGAGUGAAGAAGGCCUUCGGGUUGUAAAGCUCUUUCGGCCGGGAAGAAAUCGCAUGGGUUAAUACCCUGUGCGGAUGACGGUACCGGCAUAAGAAGCACCGGCUAACUACGUGCCAGCCGCCGCGGUAACAC